AAUCAAGCCUGGGCAAUGGCGGGCGCCCCUCCCCCAGCCUCGCUGCCGCCUUGCAGUUUGAUCUCAGACUGCUGUGCUAGCAAUCAGCGAGACUCCCUGGGCAUAGGACCCUACGAGCCAGGUGCGGGAUAUAAUCUCGUGUUGCACCGUUUUUUAAGCCUGUCGGAAAAGCGCAGUAUUCUGGUGGGAGUGACCCGAUUUUCCAGGUGCCGUCCAUCACUCCUUUCUUUGACUCAGAAAGGGAACUCCCUGACCCCUUGCGCUUCCCAAGUGAGGCAAUGCCUCGCCCUGCUUCGGCUCGCGCACGGUGCACGCACCCACUGACCUGCGCCCACUGUCUGGCACUCCCUAGUGAGAUGAACCCGGUACCUCAGAUGGAAAUGCAGAAAUCACCCGUCUUCUGCGUCGCUCACGCUGGGAGCUGUAGACCGGAGCUGUUCCUAUUCGGCCAUCUUGGCUCCUCCCUCUGAAGAGUCCAACAGAAAAUUUUAAGUACCUGUUUAAAGCAAUUUACAAGAUACUGUGGAGAUUCCCAGCAAUAAAGAAUGUACUAUAGUUAAGCUGGAAUCCAACUCCUGAAUUUCUGGAGCCCUGAAGACCACUUAGUCUUACUCACAAGAAUUGAAUGGAAUGUGAAUCUACACUCAGGUGAAGCCAGGGUAUUUUGAACGUCCCUACAAGACUGAAGCACCACUGGGAAAUAAGUAAUAGAGAUGCCAUCAUUGUGGAGGUCAUAAUGCUUGUCCUGAACACGAGGGGUCUCUAGUGAGGCACCAAUUCAGCUCCUCUUCUGUGGAGAGACUACAUGGGUGCUGAAGAAACAAAGACACAACGCAGCUCCUCUCAAAGGAGUUCAGAGCUUAGCAGGGGAGACAGAACCAUGAAUGCAUAGUUACGCAUCAAUGUGCUGCACGAGCACUGAAGCCCAAGCACAAGCGGCCUGAGUCCCAGGUCUCACUUUGUCACCCAGGCUGAAGUGGAGUGGCAUGAUCAUAGCUCAUUGUAACCUCAAACUCCUGG
rnacentral:lncRNA from 1 species